rnacentral:lncRNA from 1 species
GUGAUUAAUGGCGAACUUCAGAGCCAGGUUGCUAUUAAUUCUCUCUUAUUAACCUGUUUGUUUGUUUGCGGAAGUACAUACAUCGCAUUCAACUAUCAGUGUUGUUAGCGAUUACUUUUUGGUUAAAACAAUGCACAUGUUUUCUGCUAAAGGCUCUAGUACUCUAAGGUCCGGUGGCUUCUGCUAUCGACUCAAAGACACUGAUAGAUACUGUAAUUAUCUCGGUACUUAUCAUAGAGAUUACACGCAGAAUGAAUAACAAUAAAUUUUGUGAACGGUUGAGGUAUUAUCUACACGAGGUAUGUAUGUGUCUAUGUACUUAUAGUUUUAGAUGAAUUCCGAAUUACCAGAACCAUGCUGAGAUAAACAAUACAACUACCACAGGGGUGGCGGCUGAAAAUUCGCCUGCCGGUCACGAAUCAUAGAUCUGUUUCAGUUACUAAAUAUUAUAACCAGUACCACGCUUUAGGCAUUUUAUACAUUUUUAGACAUUAUCUAUAUCUUGUAUUUAUUUACAUCUGUGAAAUUGUAACAUUUGUAAGAAUAUAUGCAUAAAUAUCUGCAGUUUACUUCUAAGAUUUAGGAUGACCAUGAUGAACAGUUCGGAAGCAAGAAGCAAGAAAAUGCACGAUCGAUAUUGCUAUGCAUAUUGGCAGAAACUUUCUCUAAAGAAGUUUCUUUUUCAAGGUUAAUGACUCAACUGGGAAAGAAGAGGCUGGAAAGAAUGCAGCCGAAGAAUGCCAUAACACGGCCGCGUCCUUCGGUAGGACCUUCGUAAACAUUUUUUCGACGUCGAUUUUAUCCUAUCGGGAUACGUUCGUUAACCCUUACCGGGUACAGGCGACCUUUGCGAAUCGACGUAUCGUCGAUUCCGAACUGAUUCACAUCCGGCCAGAAACCAAACGGGCACGAAAGGAAAAAGACGAGCAAGGUCGACACAACCGGGGAAAGUAUUAUCAUGACGCAACAAGAUUGAAGAUGAUGUUCUAUAAUAGCUUCUAAAUUAUGCUACCACUACUUCAACGGCAUAGGGGAUUAGUAUGCCUUCACGUGCUUUACGUCACGUAUGGUUGGUUUUUGUAUUAUUUUUUAAUUUCUUGUGAUCGAUUUCGUGCGAUUAUUCUAAUAAGAAAAAGUUCUAUUUCUCUCUCUCUCUCUUUUGAAAAUAAGCAUGUUUAUGGUUUUAGGUGUUAGGCAAGUAUGUAUAUCGAAUAAAAUUACCGCAUAUAUGAUAGUGCUAUUUAAAUAAGUGUACGAAUUUAUACUGAGUAGUACAAGGUUAUUGGUAUUAAUGUGAUUCAAAGAAUUUUAUAUAAUAAUUGAAAGUGGUAUGAAGUAUAUAUGAAUAAUAAUUUAAACAUAAUAACUUUUGAUAUCUCUCACUAUUCUCUCGAUAAUUCACAAGAAGGCUCUGUAUUUUCUUCAAGAGGUGAUUCAAUCUCUAUAAUUUGCAUUAUCGUAGCAAUGAAAAGUAAGUUUGUAUUAUGAAUGAUCUAUACCACUUGCAUACGAAGUUUCAUGACUUUUUGAAUUUUCAACUUAAUCGUUUAAACGUUCACGUUUCUGGAAUAUUUAUUUUUAAGAAUUUUAUGUACAGAUAUCUUUUUGCCAAAAGGCUAACCACCUGUUCUAUAGUUAAACAUUGAAAGAAUGGUAAAAGGAUCAGCAGGAUUCUUAUAUCACGAUUCUGUGUAAUAAAAUGCUGCUCGAGUAACAUAUACAUUAUCCUGCGAUAUAUAUCAGUAUUAGGAUUUUCAACUAUUAUUUACAGAGAAAAUACGAGAGAAGAUUCGGUUACAAACUAGCCAUCGUGUCAAGUUGCCAAUUUGUAUUCCUGUGGAGUUAGCAGGAAGUGCAACUUGGUCUCGAUUGUAACGGUAACGACAAAAGAUAUACCGUAUAUAAUCAUGUACGGUAUUUUAUUUCGUGACAAUGGUACGAAUUUACGGAAUAACGUACUUGUCUUGGAAUUUCUUAGUCAUUCGUGAAAAUGAGAAAAUUUCGAUCCUACACACAAUUAAAACUCUUGAAAAUUUUCUUUGAUCAAUAAAGCUUUGUUUAUAAAAUUAAAGAUCACAAAGAUCAUAUCCAGAGAUUUUUUCGUUGACUUAAUUUUUAUAUCUGAAAGAUAAAAAAUAAUUUACGUAAAAGACGAAUGGCAUGAGAGCGUACCUUUCUCAAUAGAUGCAGGCAUUGAAGUCAUUGUCCUAUACUGGCAUUCAAAUCACCUCUAAUCUAUCUGAUAUAACUUGCGGUAUUGAAACUAUAUGUGCAUGAUUAGUUAUAAGUGGCAUAGAUAUUAUAUUUGAUAAAUUAAAAAUGUAAUAAGAAGAAAUUAAAUAAAUUUUAUUAUAUUUCGUGAUAUUUGAAACAUUUCAUGUAGAUGAAAAAGUAAAAUCGCUCUCUUUUUAUAAUGUUACAACACGCGCAAAUUUUAUUGUAUUUAUUCUAUGUACAUCAUUUAUAUU